GAAGGUAUUAGUCAGCGGUAGAGUAUGUGCCUAGCAAGCACAAGGUCUUGGGUUCAAUCCCCAGUACCUCCA
rnacentral:tRNA from 1 species